UGAAACUGCGAAUGGCUCAUUAAAUCAGAAAUAGUUUAUUUGAUAAUACCUUUACUACUCGGAUAACUGUAGUAAUUCUAGAGCUAAUACGUGCUAAAAGUUCCAUCUCUUAAACGGGGUGGAAUGUAUUUAUUAGAUAAAAAACCAAUGCACGAGGCAACUCGUGGUAAUUGUUGAAUCAUAAAAACUUUGCGAAUCGCAUAGCUUUAAGCUGGCGAUGAAUCAUUCAAAUUUCUGCCCUAUCAACUUUCGAUGGUAGUGUAGUGGACUACCAUGGUCGUAACGGGUGACGGAGAAUUAGGGUUCGGUUCCGGAGAGGGAGCCUGAGAGACGGCUACCACUUCCAAGGAAGGCAGCAGGCGCGCAAAUUACCCAAUGGCAAUACGCCGAGGUAGUGACAAUAAAUAACA
rnacentral:rRNA from 1 species